rnacentral:tRNA from 8 species
CGGGGCGUAGCUCAGUUGGCUAGAGUGCCUGCUUUGGGAGCAGGAGGUCGCUGGUUCGAGUCCAGUCGCCCCGACCA